rnacentral:rRNA from 1 species
GACGAACGCUGGCGGCGUGCUUAACACAUGCAAGUCGAACGGAAAGGCCCUGCUUUUGUGGGGUUCUCGAGUGGCGAACGGGUGAGUAACACGUGAGUAACCUGCCCUUGACUUUGGGAUAACUUCAGGAAACUGGGGCUAAUAUCGGAUAGGAUCUCCUGCUGCAUGGUGGGGGUUGGAAAGUUUCGGCGGUUGGGGAUGGACUCGCGGCUUAUCAGCUUGUUGGUGGGGUAGUGGCUUACCAAGGCUUUGACGGGUAGCCGGCCUGAGAGGGUGACCGGCCACAUUGGGACUGAGAUACGGCCCAGACGCCAACGGGAGGCAGCAGGGGGAAAUAUUGCACAAUGGGCGGGAGCCUGAUGCAGAAGCGCCGCGUGCGGGAUGACGGCCUUCGGGUUAUAAACCGCUUUCGCCUGUGACGAAGCGUGAGUGACGGUAAUGAGUAAAGAAGCACCGGCUAACUACGUG